rnacentral:lncRNA from 1 species
CAAAACUAUAACGGGUGCUCUUUGAGACUUAUGGUCAAAAUGUCCAUAUUUCAUAGCUGAACUUCUUUCAGAGUUUUUUAUGUUUCUAGAUGUAUAUUUCAGCAGAUGAACAGAAGCAGUAAGGCUGCCAUCUUAUACAUGCAUAUGCUGAGCAUAAGCAAUAGUUGAAUACAAAUGAAUCUUCUGUGAAUAUGAAAAGGAAAAGAAGGCUGUCUUCAAGAGAYGAAGUGUUUUCAGAAAAGAGAAGAUGAGCUACAGAGACAGCAGAAGGAAACACUUUCUCUGCAACAGAAAACAGAUGAUCUUCUUACUGAGCUCUAGCCUCAAGAAAUCAGAGUCACCAGCUCCAGACUGAACUGCGUAAAAUGAAAACUGAGAUAAAAAAUGAAGAGCUGAAGAGCUACAGAAUGAACUGAGUAUAUCCAGCUAGUUAAAUGGGCAGGCCAAAUGUUCAGGUACUGUACAAAGGUAUCAUUAACUGCCCUGAACUACAUAAAUUAAGCUGAU